CUAGCUAUGGCGGUACAUAUUCUAAAAUUGGAACAAUACAGAGAAGAUUAGCAUGGCUCCUACGCAAGGAUGACAUGCAAAUUCGUGAAGCGUUCCUUAUUUUU
rnacentral:snRNA from 1 species